rnacentral:tRNA from 1 species
GCGGGUAUGGCGGAAUCGGCAGACGCGCUGGAUUUAGGUUCCAGUAGCCGCAAGGCUGUGGAGGUUCAAAUCCUCCUACCCGCA